rnacentral:tRNA from 1 species
UAUACUAUAGUUUAUUAAACCAGAACCACGAAUUGCAAAUUCGAAAGCGAGUUGACUCUAGUAUAU